rnacentral:lncRNA from 1 species
UUUCUGUUUAUUGUUUAUUACAGUUUUCACCUGACAUACAGUUUUCACAUUUGGAAAUAUCAAUAAAGGCUGUUUGGCACGUCUGCGCUGAACCCAGCUCCGGCCACGCCCCCUUUUCGAAAUCCACUCAUCUUCCCAAUCUCCUGCAUCAGUCAGAAUCGUGUUUAUUGGCCAAGUGAAGAGUGCAGGAAGUGCAGAGAUAAAUAUUAAAUGGUAAAAAGAAAAUGACGUAAGAGGGAGAAGAGAAAUCUGUGUGUGUGCAUGAGCUUGUGUGGAAAAGUGUGUGUGCCCUUCAAUGAUAUCGAGAACCUAGAGUCUUGAACACAGGGGCAUUGCACACAGUCACAGUCACCAGAUUUCCUGUGUUAGACUUUACCUCUGUGCUUUGCCCGUGUUAGACUUUAUCGUCUGUGCUUUGCCCGUGUUUGGACAUUAUCGUCUGUGCUUUGCCCGUGUUUGGACAUUAUCUUCAGGGUUUCAGUUCUUUGUGCUUUGGAAUCCCGUUAUUUGUGUUACUCCAGCGACUGCCUCUAUUUUGGGACUGUUUCUCGAAUGUGUGGGUGUCAUUCGCUCUCGCUGCAACCGGUUCCUCUUGGUGCAUCCAGGUCCAUCGAACUGUUUUUAUUUGUAUCCAAUUUUUGCUCGGCGUUUGACCGGUUUGGCGCUAAACGGUUGACUAUUUGUGGAUAAACAAAGCAUUUAAGAGGAAAGGACUUCUCUGUCGGACAGCAUCAUGUGGAUCUUGAUCCUCAUACCAUUUUUGCUUGCAGAGCCCUCGACCUCAACCUCGCUAGAUUUAACACAAGCAAAAGGCUUGCUCAACACUACUGUGAAGUUGCCUUGUGAAAAGCCGUGUCAUGGUGUUGUGAAAUGGGUGAAGGUGAGAUCCCCUCCUUCCCAAACGAUUGCUCACUGUGAAAACGGAACCUGUGCUGAUUUUGGGAACAAAGCCACAGUCGGCCUCUCUGGGAACAUCUUCCUCUUGCUCCCUCAAGCAGCACUCAGUGAUGAAGGAGGGUAUGAAGGCCACUGUGAUGGUAAAGUUAUUUGUGACGUCACACUGGAGCUUUUAGCUCAUCACAACACUGCGGAGGUCCGUAUAGGUGACGCCCUGUUCAUUGGUCUUCUAAGUUCAGAGCCAGUGAGAGUGACGUUCCGUAAGGCCAGUCACUCCACUGAUGACUUGGUGUGUGUCGUAGAGGGAGCUGUGCCCUUAUGCGUUAGAGAAUACAGCAGGAGAUCUUCUGUCCAGGACUACACUGUGACCUUUACUAACGUGACUGAAUCCGAUGAAGGAGUUUUCACUGUGAGAGACAGCAACACCAUGCGGAGGCUCAACAUCGUGAAGCUUACCAUCAAAGAUGGGUACACUUGGCAGUUCUCCAUUCCGUGGGAAAUCGCUCUGUUCAUCGGGGGUUUCAUCCUGAACAUAUUCCUCUGGAAAAUCCUAGCAUUUGGCAAGAGAACAUAUACUAGGAUAAGAAACACAUUCUCUCCUCCUCCACAACCGGAAGAGACACUUGGGCUAGCCCCGUUUCCAGGAACCAACAGAUCGUCAAUCCAAAGGAUGAGAGCAGAAGAAUCAGCGCUGGGCCCUGGGCCUGUUCAAACAAAGGAUGUUGUCCACUCAUUGCAGUGAUGUGCAUCGGGACCAUUUAAAGGAUGUUGUCCACUCAUUGCAGUGAUGUGCAUCUGGACCAUUUAAAGGAUGUUGUCCACACAUUGCAGUGAUGUACAUCGGGAUAUAAAGGAUGUUGUCCACACAUUGCAGUGAUGUGCAUCUGGACCAUUUAAAGGAUGUUGUCCACACAUUGCAGUGAUGUGCAUCGGGAUAUAAAGGAUGUUGUUCACACAUUGCAGUGAUGUGCAUCAGGAUAUAAAGGAUGUUGUCCACACAUUGCAGUGAUGUGCAUCGGGACCAUUUAAAGGAUGUUGUCCACACAUUGCAAUGAUGUGCAUUGGGACCAUUUAACCCUUUGAUGCCAGCCCCCAAAAUGACCGAUUUGGGGCGCUUUCAUUUAAAACAGUGAUGUAAAGACACUUUGUAACAUGUUAAUGUGUGAUAUCUCAUUCAAAGCUAAUAGUAACACAGCACAAUUUUUUUUCAUUAUUCAAUGGAAUUUCAAUGUAUGCAAAUGUUUAAUGUGCAAAUCAAUACAAUACAACAAUACACCACAAUAUAUACAAUAUUAUGUGAAAAUAUGAUAAAAAGUAAAACAAUGAAUGAACUGGUCAAGGAAAGCUUUGACUUUUCUCAGCUUAUCAUUUCCAUCCUCAGCACUGGGGUCCACUACAUGUAACAUGGCCAUUAGGGCCUUGAACCGCUCCCAUGACAUAGUAGACCUUGCCCAAAGCCCAUGGUACAGGGUCUUCAUGCUCCAGUAUCGAUGGAAAGAGCUAACAUCCAUCAGACCACAAUAUAUUAGGGCAAUCAUUUUUUGUAUUUUUUCCAGUCCAUACCCCAGUCUUGUCAGCAUAUGACUGCUUGUCCUCAAUGACACCCCAUGCAUAUGAGUUAGUGUGGGAACAAUUGUCUUGAAGGAUAUGCACAAAAGAAAACCCGUAGCACAUGUCAUAGUCCCCCUAAGAACCGGUGUCACUAAAUUAAUGCUAGCAGGUCUUCUUGGUGAGAAAUCUGGAAGCUGAUUUGGGUUAUCUGGGUCAUCAUAGCUGCUGUGUCCUGUGUGCUGAUUCUGUACUGGUCCAACUCUCCUGGCUUGUCGGCCUCUUGCCCCUUUCCCUCUUGCUCUCACACCUCUCCCUCUCGCUGGUCUUGGUUUCGCUGGCAGAUUUUCAGAAGCACCCUCAUCGCUGCUCUCUUCGUGGCUAAUAUCGCCAGUACCUAAGCUGAAAACCAAUUGAUCAGAAAAAGAACCAGUUCAUUUUCUAUUCUUCUUUUACACACAUAUAUAUAUAUUAUUGUAUGUAUGUAUGUGUGUAUAUAUAUAUAUAUAUAUAAUAUAUAUAUAUUAUUGUACAGACGUGAAAUUACAAGCACACAAAACCUUGAUGUCUCAUCAACAACGAAAUAUUGACAGAACUACACUAAAACCAUAAGUAACCGUCAAAAGUGUUCAUGAAUUAGGUUAGAAUAAUAUCUUGAAAGGAAAAUAAAUACUCCUUGCUAUGUAUGUAUGUAUGUUAA